AGAUGUGAGGACGAUCUGGCUGCAACAUCUGUCACCCCAUUGAUCGCCAGGGUUGAUUCGGCUGAUCUGGCUAGCUAGGCGGAUGUCCCCUUCCUCCCUCACCACUCCAUGUGCUUCCCUCCGAAGCUGCACGCUGGGUGGAAGAGGCCAGCCUUCCCCAGAUAGAGAUGGACUGGUCUUAGGUCGAGGGUAUAUGAGUAGCAGCGCUCACCUGCUAGAACCUCCAGACAGGCACUCAAGAAAGAUAGAUAGAUAGAUAGAUAGAUAGAUAGAUAGAUAGAUAGAUAGAUAGAUAGAUAGAGAGGCAUGCAGGCUGAUUCACUGCUCCUGAAGCAUCCCUCUGCAGGUG
rnacentral:snRNA from 1 species